ensembl:lncRNA
AAACCCCAUAGGAACCCCAUAGAUGAGCCCUGACCCAUAGCUGCCCCAUAGAAACCCCAUAGAUUGAGCCUGACCCAUAGCUGCCCCAUAGAAGACACCACCAUAGAUGAGCCCUGACCCAUAGCUGCCCCAUAGAAACCCCAUAGGAACCCCAUAGGAACCCCAUAGAUGAGCCCUGCCCCAUAGAUGAGCCAUAGCCAUGCUGACGGUGUUUCAGUGCAUCACUAUGGAGGGGUGGACUGACCUGCUGUACUAUGUGAGCCGCUGACCCAUAGCUGCCCAUAGGAACCCCAUAGAAACCCCAUAGAUGAGCCAUAGCUGCCCCAUAACCAGCCCAUAGCUCACCGUGUUCCAGUGCAUCACUAUGGAGGGGUGGACAGACUGCUUGUACUAUUGUGAUGCCUGACCCAUUAGCUGCCCCAAUAGAAACCCCAUAGGAAAACCCCAAUAGAUGAGCCUGAACCCAUAGGUGCCCAUAGAUGAGCAUAGCUGCCCCUAUAGCUGACCUCAUAGCUGACCCCAUAGCGACCCCAUAGCUGACCCCAUAGCCGACCCCAUAGCUGACCCAUAGCUGACCCCAUAGCUUGAACCCAUAGCUGACCCCAUAGCCGACCCCAUAGCUGACCCACAGCUGCCCCAUAGCCGACCCCAUAGCUGACCCAUAGCUGACCCCAUAGCCGACCCCAUAGCUGACCCAUAGAUGACCCAUAGCCAACCAUAGCCGACCCCCAUAGCUGACGCCAUAGCCGACCCAUAAUACCGACCCAUAACUGACCCCUAUAACUGAACCCAUAAAUCUGACCCUACAUAACCGACCCCCCCCCUUUAUAAACCGACCCGCAUAAACCGACCCGCCAUAACUGACCCCAUAGCUGACCCUAUAACCGACCCCAUAACUGACCCCAUAGCUGACCCUAUAAACCGACCCAUAACUGACCCCCAUAACGACCCUAUAACCGCCCCCUCCAGACCAACGAUGCCUCAGGAAACACCUGGAACUGGCUAUACUUCAUCCCCCUCAUCAUCAUCGGCUCCUUCUUUAUGCUCAACCUGGUGCUGGGGGUUGCUCAGCGGUGAAUUUGCCAAGGAACGUGAGCGGGUUGAAAACCGCCGGGCGUUCCUGAAACUGAGACGGCAGCAACAGAUCGAGAGGGAGCUCAAAUGGGUACAUGGAGUGGAUAUCGAGGAGGUGAGAAACCCACCCACAUUAAAUGGGAACCCCACCCAUUAAAUAGGGACCCCACCAAUUAAUAGGGACGCCACCCAAAUUAAUAGCGGACCCCCAAGUUAAUAACAGAAUCGACGAGGGAGCUCAAAUGGGUACAUGGAGGUGGAUAUCAAGGCAGGUGAGACCCCACCAAAUUAAUGGGACCCCCACCCAAAUUAAUGAUGACCCCACCCAAUUUAUAGGGACCCUCCACCAAAUUAUAGGACCCCCAAAUUAAUACAGAUCGAGAGGGAGCUCAAUGGGGUACAUGGAGUGGAUAUCAAGGGCAGGUGAGACCCCCACCCAAAUUAAUGGGACCCCCACCCAAAUUAUAGGACCCCCACCCAAAUUAAUGGGACCCCCCUCCCCCCCAAAAUAAAGAGAGACCCCCCCCCA